rnacentral:rRNA from 1 species
UACGGGGGGGGCAAGCGUUGUUCGGAAUUACUGGGCGUAAAGAGCGUGUAGGCGGCCAGGUAGGUCUGCUGUGAAAACUCGAGGCUUAACCUCGAGAUGUCGGCGGAAACCAUCUGGCUAGAGUCCGGAAGAGGAGAAUGGAAUUCCUGGUGUAGCGGUGAAGUGCGCAGAUAUCAGGAAGAACACCAAUGGCGAAAGCAGCUCUCUGGGACGGUACUGACGCUGAGGAGCGAAAGCGUGGGGAGCGAACAGG